GACGAACGCUGGCGGCGUGCUUAACACAUGCAAGUCGAACGGAAAGGCCCUGCUUUUGUGGGGUGCUCGAGUGGCGAACGGGUGAGUAACACGUGAGUAACCUGCCCUUGACUUUGUGAUAACUUCAGGAAACUGGGGCUAAUACCGGAUAGGAGCUCCUGCUGCAUGGUGGGGGUUGGAAAGUUUCGGCGGUUGGGGAUGGACUCGCGGCUUAUCAGCUUGUUGGUGGGGUAGUGGCUGACCAAGGCUUUGACGGGUAGCCCGCCUGAGAGGGUGACCGGCGACAAUGGGACUGAGAGACGGCCCAGACUGCUACGGGAGGCAGAAGUGGGGAAUAUUGCACAAUGGGCGGAAGCCUGAUGCAGCAACGCCGCGUGCGGGAUGACGGCCUUCGGGUUGUAAACCGCUUUCGCCUGUGACGAAGCGUGAGUGACGGUAAUGGGUAAAGAAGCACCAGCUAACUACGUG
rnacentral:rRNA from 1 species